CACCCGACCUCUGCCGUGCGCGCCCAUCCGACCCUGCCCUACAAGUUUCCAAGAAAAUUAUGACAGCCUCAACAAGUACUGAACGAAAAGAAGAUCUGACAACUACUCCCUCUGUCUCAUAAUAUACAGAAACAUCAGAAACUUGUGUACCUUCCAAAUGGACCAAACACUUUGUUGAUCGCUUGGAGAAAAUAUAUGCUUUGAGGAAGAAGAAUUGUUGUCGCGCUACCUACGUAAGAAGGUUGCCACAUAAGUAAUCAGGUUGAUCAUGAGCUUAACACUAAGCAGUUACAGAAAAUAGUAGAGAUGAAGCAAGCAACAAUAUUUACUUCCGGGAUAUUAUCAGCGGAUCCAUGAGAUGGUCAGGCUUUGAACCCUCUGCUGCCCACAAGUAUCAGUAUCAAAAUGACCUUGCCCAGGUAGUGUACCACCACAUAUUAGCAUGAGCUCGUCCAAAUACAAGACACGGUGGGGACUGAAGAACAACGAGACUGCAAACAGAAUUAGCAUUGUAGGAACCGCG
rnacentral:lncRNA from 1 species